rnacentral:rRNA from 1 species
AGGACGAACGCUGGCGGCGCGCUUAAUACAUGCAAGUCGAGCGAGAACCGGACCUUCGGGUCCGGGGAAAGCGGCGAACGGGUGAGUAACACGUGGGUAAUCUGCCCUCGGUACUGGGAUAGCCCGGGGAGACCCGGAUUAAUACCGGAUAGCCUUUCGAGCUCUCGGGCUCGUUAGAAAAUGGUGGCUUCGGCUUCCGACUGAGGAUGAGCCCGCGGCGGAUUAGCUUGUUGGUGAGGUAAUGGCUCACCAAGGCUCCGAUCCGUAGCUGGUCUGAGAGGACGAUCAGCCACACUGGGACUGAGACACGGCCCAGACUCCUACGGGAGGCAGCAGUAGGGAAUCUUGCGCAAUGGGCGAAAGCCUGACGCAGCGACGCCGCGUGCGGGAAGAAGGCCUC